AAGCCACCUUACGGUGGUGGACAGUGGCGCACGGGUGAGUAACGCGUGGGAACGUACCUUUUAGUACGGAACAACCAUUAGAAAUGAUGGCUAAUACCGUAUAGUCCCUCCGGGGUAAAGAUUUAUCGCUAAAAGAUCGGCCCGCGUCCAAUUAGCUAGUUGGUAAGGUAAUGGCUUACCAAGGCGACGAUUGGUAGCUGGUUUGAGAGGAUGAUCAGCCACACUGGAACUGAGACACGGUCCAGACUCCUACGGGAGGCAGCAGUGGGGAAUAUUGCGCAAUGGAGGAAACUCUGACGCAGCCAUGCCGCGUGAGUGAAGAAGGCCUUCGGGUUGUAAAGCUCUUUUACCUGUGAUGAUAAUGACAGUAGCAGGAGAAAAAGCUCCGGCUAACUUCGUGCCAGCAGCCGCGGUAAUACGAAGGGAGCGAGCGUUGUUCGGAAUUACUGGGCGUAAAGCGUGCGUAGGCGGUUUAGUAAGUUAGAAGUGAAAGCCCUGGGCUCAACCUAGGAAUUGCUUUUAAAACUACUAAACUAGAAUCUCGGAGGGGAUGGUGGAAUUUCCAGUGUAGAGGUGAAAUUCGUAGAUAUUGGAAGGAACACCAGUGGCGAAGGCGACCAUCUGGACGAGUAUUGACGCUGAGGCACGAAAGCGUGGGGAGCAAACAGGAUUAGAUACCCUGGUAGUCCACGCCGUAAAACGAUGUAUGCUAGUUGUUGGAGUCUUAAGGCUUCAGUGACGCAGAGAAAUCAUUAAGCAUACCGCCUGGGGAGUACGGUCGCAAGAUUAAAACUCAAAGGAAUUGACGGGGACCCGCACAAGCGGUGGAGCAUGUUGUUUAAUUCGAAGCAACGCGAAGAACCUUACCCACACUUAACUAUCCUCUUGGGGCUUUCAGAGAUGAUUGCUUUCGGUUCGGCCGGGGAGUGAAUAGGUGCUGCAUGGCUGUCGUCAGCUCGUGUCGUGAGAUGUUAGGUUAAGUCCUGCAACGAGCGCAACCCUUAUCGUAUGUUGCCAUCAUUAAGUUGGGAACUCAUGCGAGACUGCCGGUGUUAAGCCGGAGGAAGGUGGGGACGACGUCAAGUCAUCAUGGCCCUUACGUGUAGGGCUACAAACGUGCUACAAUGGCUACUACAGUGGGCAGCAAACCGGCGACGGUGAGCGAAUCCCCAAAAGUAGUCUCAGUUCGGAUUGUUCUCUGCAACUCGAGAACAUGAAGUCGGAAUCGCUAGUAAUCGUGGAUCAGCAUGCCACGGUGAAUACGUUCCCGGGUCUUGUACACACCGCCCGUCACAUCAUGGGAGUUGAUUCUGCCCGAAGAUGGUGCGCUAACCUCUAGGA
rnacentral:rRNA from 1 species